AAUAAAGGGCAAUUGUCUUGUAAUUGGAAUGAUGGUGACGUAAAAUCUCACCAGAGUAACAAUUGGAGGGCAAGUCUGGUGCCAGCAGCCGCGGUAAUUCCAGCUCCAAUAGCGUAUAUUAAACUUGUUGCAGUUAAAAAGCUCGUAGUUGAAUUUCUGCGUUGCCCGACUCGGCUACUUGCCUUGUCUGGUUUCACUUUUGGGGUUUUCCCCUUUUUACUUUGAGAAAAUUAGAGUGUUUCAAGCAGACUUGUGUCUUGAAUACUCCAGCAUGGAAUAAUAAAGUAGGACUUUGGUUCUAUUUUGUUGGUUUGUGAACCUUAGUAAUGGUUAAUAGGAACGGUUGGGGGCAUUCGUAUUUAACUGUCAGAGGUGAAAUUCUUAGAUUUGUUAAAGACGAACUACUGCGAA
rnacentral:rRNA from 1 species